ensembl:lncRNA
CAGAAUAUUUCAUUGCCUAGCCACCUUAGGUAAACAGGAAUUUACUGUGGCAUCAAAACAAUAGUGGCCUCUAAGGACUAUAUUCUGGGAGUCUCAGGCUUGCCAACUGUCCAGCAACGGGUCAGCUGCAGACUCACUGUCCACUCUAGCUGGGCAUUACUGGGAUUCAAUCAGUCUCCACUUCAGAAAUCAUGGGCGGUGUUUCCAUGGAGCUCUGCCCGAAAAGAGGUGAUCUAAAUCUUGCAUGAGAGAUGUACAUCAAUAGGGAGCUUUGCCUAGAACACUGUGACCUAAAAAAUCAUAUUAAGGAACUCAGAAUGCAGAGUCAGUUUCAGAGACACCAGGUGACCUUGUGCAAGGCACCUCGUAGAUUGCCUUGCUGACUGGACUCCCCUAAUGAAUGGUGACUGCCUCUGCCACCCACCUACUACCAACUGCAAGUUGAAGAGCUUUGGGAGUAGUUUGUCCAGAAGGUCCACUGCGCCUAGAACCUUCUGGGAGGUCGAGCACCCGAAAAGAGAAAAGAAACGGAAGUUUAAGAGGUUAAGAGACUUGCCCAAGUUCACUCAACACGUCAGACUCCUGUUGAUUCAACAUGUGGACAAGGAACCAGCCACAUGGGAUGGACAGCGUUGUCAUAGAAAGUGGUAGAUGCCAUUUGCCUGUCUUCAACUGGUUAAUAUCCAUUUGCCAAGACAAACUUUCCAGGGGACCUUAUAGACCUAAAGAUCAC